CAACCUCAACUCAUAUGGGACUACCCCCUGAAUUUAAGCAUAUUAAUGAGGGGAGGAAAAGAAACUAACAAGGAUUUUCUUAGUAGCGGCGAGCGAAAAGAAAAUAGUUCAGCACUAAGUCACUUUGUCUAUAUGGCAAAUGUGAGAUGCAGUGUAUGGAAUAUCUUAAUAUCUAGUAUGAGAAAUUAACGAUUUAAGUCCUUCUUAAAUGAGGCCAUUUACCCAUAGAGGGUGCCAGGCCCGUAUAACGUUAAUGAUUACUAGAAAGAUAUUUCCAAAGAGUCGUGUUGCUUGAUAGUGCAGCACUAAGUGGGUGGUAAACUCCAUCUAAAACUAAAUAUAACCAUGAGACCGAUAGUAAACAAGUACCGUGAGGGAAAGUUGAAAAGAACUCUGAAUAGAGAGUUAAAUAGUACGUGAAACUGCUUAGAGGUUAAGCCCGAUGAACCUGAAUAUCCAUUAUGAAAAAUUCAUCAUUAUAACUGUGAUAUUUAUAAUAUUAUAGUAAUAGUGUGCAUUUUUUUCAUAUAAGGACAUUGUAAUCUAUUAACAUAAUAAAAUAUUUAUCAAAAGAUCAUUGGUGUUAAGUUUAUUCAAAUUAAUUUGCUUUUAGCUUAUUAACAUAGAAUAAAUACUGAUGAUUUGAUAAAGUGUUGAUAGAUUUUACAUAUAUAAUGCUUAAAUUCUUUUGAAUUUUACAAUAAUAUUAUUAUCAUUGAUUUUAAUAUUAAUUGUAUGCAUUUAUAUGAUUAACAAUGCGAAAGAUUCAGGAUACCUUCGGGACCCGUCUUGAAACACGGACCAAGGAGUCUAACAUAUGUGCAAGUCAUUGGGUUAUAUUAAACCUAAUGGCGAAAUUAACUUAACUUUUAUAUAAUGGGAUUAAUUUUUAGUGAAAUAUUUUACUAUUAAUUCAAUCCCGGGGCGUUCCAUAUAGUUAUGUAUAAUGAUAAUUUAUUAUUAUUUAUACCUCUAACUGGAGCGUACCUUGAGCAUAUAUGCUGUGACCCGAAAGAUGGUGAACUAUACUUGAUCAGGUUGAAGUCAGGGGAAACCCUGAUGGAAGACCGAAACAGUUCUGACGUGCAAAUCGAUUGUCAGAAUUGAGUAUAGGGGCGAAAGACCAAUCGAACCAUCUAGUAGCUGGUUCCCUCCGAAGUUUCCCUCAGGAUAGCUGGUGCAUUUAAAUAUUAUGUAAAAUAAUCUUAUCUGGUAAAGCGAAUGAUUAGAGGCCUUAGGGUCGAAACGACCUUAACCUAUUCUCAAACUUUAAAUGGGUAAGAACCUCACCUUUCUUGAUAUGAAGGUUGAGGUUAUGAUAUAAUGUGCCCAGUGGGCCACUUUUGGUAAGCAGAACUGGCGCUGUGGGAUGAACCAAACGUAAUGUUACGGUGCCCAAAUUAACAACUCAUGCAGAUACCAUGAAAGGCGUUGGUUGCUUAAAACAGCAGGACGGUGGACAUGGAAGUCGUAAUCCGCUAAGGAGUGUGUAACAACUCACCUGCCGAAGCAACUAGCCCUUAAAAUGGAUGGCGCUUAAGUUGUAUACCUAUACAUUACCGCUAAAGUACAUGAUUUAUAAUACAAUUUCGGUUGGAUUAUAAAUUUUGAAACUUUAGUGAGUAGGAGGGUACAAUGGUGUGCUUAGAAGUGUUUGGCGUAAGCCUGCAUGGAGCCGCCAUUGGUACAGAUCUUGGUGGUAGUAGCAAAUAAUCGAAUGAGACCUUGGAGGACUGAAGUGGAGAAGGGUUUCGUGUGAACAGUGGUUGAUCACGAGUUAGUCGGUCCUAAGUUCAAGGCGAAAGCCGAAAAUUUUCAAGUUUUAAUGAAUUGUUGAGAAUAUAUAAUUAUUAUGUUUUCUUCAUAGUAAUUAAACACUUGAAUAAUUUUGAACGAAAGGGAAUACGGUUCCAAUUCCGUAACCUGUUGAGUAUCCGUUUGUUAUUAAAAAUGGGCCUUGUGCUCAUCCUGGCAACAGGAACGACCAUAAAGAAGCCGUCGAGAGGUAUCGGAAGAGUUUUCUUUUCUGUUUUAUAGUCGUACUACCAUGGAAGUCUUUCGAAGAGAGAUAUGGUAGAUGGACUAGAAGAGCAUGACAUUUACUGUUGUGUCGAUAUUUUCUCCUCGGACCUUGAAAAUUUAUGGUGGGGUUACGCAAACUUCUCAACAGGCCGUACCAAUAUCCGCAGCUGGUCUCCAAGGUGAAGAGUCUCUAGUCGAUAGAAUAAUGUAGGUAAGGGAAGUCGGCAAAUUAGAUCCGUAACUUCGGGAUAAGGAUUGGCUCUGAAGAUUGAGAUAGUCGGGCUUGAUUGGGAAGCAAUACCAUGGUUUAUGUACUCGUUCUGGGUAAAUAGAGAAUUUCGGUUCUUGUUCCCCGGAUAGUAGUUACGUAGCCAAUUGUGGAACUUUCUUGCUAAAAUUUUAUAAGAAUUAUAUCGCAAGAUAUAUAUUCUUAUUUAAUUAUAACGAUUAUCAAUUAACAAUCAAUUCAGAACUGGCA